rnacentral:rRNA from 1 species
GACGUACGCUGGCGGCGGGCUUAACACAUGCAAGUCGAACGGAAAGGCCCUGCUUGUUUGUGGUGCUCGAGUGGCGAACGGGUGAGUAACACGUGAGUAACCUGCGCUGGACUUGGGGAUAACUUCAGGAAACUGGUGCUAAUACCGGAGAGGAGCGCGUGCUGCAGGGUGGGGGUUGGAAAUUUUGGGUGGUGGGGGGUGGAUUCGGGGCUUAUCAGCUUGUGGGUUGGGGAGUGGCUUACCAAGGCUUUGACGGGUAGCCGGCAUGAGAGGGUGAACGGGGACAUUGGUCCUGCGGUACGGCGCAGACUCCAACGGUGGGCAGCAGUGGGGAAUAUUGCACAAUGGGCGGAAGUGUGAUGCAGAAACGCCGCGUGCGGGAUGACGGCCAUCGGGUUGUAAACCGCUUUAGCUUGUGACGAAGCGUGAGUGACGGUAAUGGGUAAAGAAGCACCGGCUAACUACGUG